GAUGAACGCUGGCGGCGUGCCUAAUACAUGCAAGUCGAACGAAACUUCUUUAUCACCGAGUGCUUGCACUCACCGAUACAGAGUUGAGUGGCGAACGGGUGCGUACCACGUCGGCAACCUGCCCAAAAGAGGGGGAUACCACUUGGAAACAGGUGCUAAUACCGCAUAACCAUAGUUACCGCAUGGUAACUAUGUAAAAGGUGCCUAUACUACCGCUUUUUGUUGGUCCCGCGGGGCUUUAGCUAGUUGGUAGGGUAAAGGCUUACCAAGGCAAUGAUGGGUAGCCGAAUGAAGAGGUGGAUCGGCGACAUGGGGAGUGAGACAGGGCCAAAACGCCUAAGGGAGGCAGCAGUAGGGAAUGGGAGGCAAUGGGCGAAAGUCUGAUGGAGCAAGGCCGCGUGGGAGAAGAAGGUCUUCGGAUCGGAAAACCGGGUUGUGAGAGAAGAAAGGGCGUGGGAGUAAACGUUGACGUUGCGACGGUAACUAACAGGAAAGCAACGGCUAACUACGUG
rnacentral:rRNA from 1 species